rnacentral:rRNA from 1 species
AACGCUGAAGAGAGGAGCUUGCUCUUCUUGGAUGAGUUGCGAACGGGUGAGUAACGCGUAGGUAACCUGCCUUGUAGCGGGGGAUAACUAUUGGAAACGAUAGCUAAUACCGCAUAACAAUGGAUGACACAUGUCAUUUAUUUGAAAGGGGCAAUUGCUCCACUACAAGAUGGACCUGCGUUGUAUUAGCUAGUAGGUGAGGUAACGGCUCACCUAGGCGACGAUACAUAGCCGACCUGAGAGGGUGAUCGGCCACACUGGGACUGAGACACGGCCCAGACUCCUACGGGAGGCAGCAGUAGGGAAUCUUCGGCAAUGGGGGCAACCCUGACCGAGCAACGCCGCGUGAGUGAAGAAGGUUUUCGGAUCGUAAAGCUCUGUUGUAAGUCAAGAACGAGUGUGAGAGUGGAAAGUUCACACUGUGACGGUAGCUUACCAGAAAGGGACGGCUAACUACGUGCCAGCAGCCGCGGUAAUACGUAGGUCCCGAGCGUUGUCCGGAUUUAUUGGGCGUAAAGCGAGCGCAGGCGGUUUGAUAAGUCUGAAGUUAAAGGCUGUGGCUCAACCAUAGUUCGCUUUGGAAACUGUCAAACUUGAGUGCAGAAGGGGAGAGUGGAAUUCCAUGUGUAGCGGUGAAAUGCGUAGAUAUAUGGAGGAACACCGGUGGCGAAAGCGGCUCUCUGGUCUGUAACUGACGCUGAGGCUCGAAAGCGUGGGGAGCGAACAGGAUUAGAUACCCUGGUAGUCCACGCCGUAAACGAUGAGUGCUAGGUGUUGGAUCCUUUCCGGGAUUCAGUGCCGCAGCUAACGCAUUAAGCACUCCGCCUGGGGAGUACGACCGCAAGGUUGAAACUCAAAGGAAUUGACGGGGGCCCGCACAAGCGGUGGAGCAUGUGGUUUAAUUCGAAGCAACGCGAAGAACCUUACCAGGUCUUGACAUCCCGAUGCUAUUUCUAGAGAUAGAAAGUUACUUCGGUACAUCGGUGACAGGUGGUGCAUGGUUGUCGUCAGCUCGUGUCGUGAGAUGUUGGGUUAAGUCCCGCAACGAGCGCAACCCCUAUUGUUAGUUGCCAUCAUUCAGUUGGGCACUCUAGCGAGACUGCCGGUAAUAAACCGGAGGAAGGUGGGGAUGACGUCAAAUCAUCAUGCCCCUUAUGACCUGGGCUACACACGUGCUACAAUGGUUGGUACAACGAGUUGCGAGUCGGUGACGGCAAGCUAAUCUCUUAAAGCCAAUCUCAGUUCGGAUUGUAGGCUGCAACUCGCCUACAUGAAGUCGGAAUCGCUAGUAAUCGCGGAUCAGCACGCCGCGGUGAAUACGUUCCCGGGCCUUGUACACACCGCCCGUCACACCACGAGAGUUUGUAACACCCGAAGUCGGUGAGGUAACCUUUGGAGCCAGCCGC